GUGAACCGGGAAAAGCUCAAAUUUUGAAUCUGGCGGUCUUCAGGCCGUCCGAGUUGUAAUCUAGAGAAGCGUCUUCCGCGCUGGACCGUGUAUAAGUUUCCUGGAAUGGAACGUCGUAGAGGGUGAGAAUCCCGUCUUUGACACGGACUGCCAGGGCUAUGUGAUGCGCUCUCGACGAGUCGAGUUGUUUGGGAAUGCAGCUCAAAUAGGGUGGUAAAUUCCAUCUAAAGCUAAAUACAGGCGAGAGACCGAUAGCGAACAAGUACCGUGAGGGAAAGAUGAAAAGAACUUUGGAAAGAGAGUUAAACAGUACGUGAAAUUGCUGAAAGGGAAACGCUUGAUGUCAGUCGCGUCGUCCGGGGAUCAGCCUUGCUCUUUUGCUCGGUGUAUUUCCUGGUCGACGGGUCAGCAUCGGUUUUGACCGUCGGAAAAUGGCUCGAGGAAUGUGGCACCCUUCGGGGUGUGUUAUAGACUCGGGUCGAAUACGGCGAUUGGGACUGAGGAACUCAACACGACCUUAGGGUUCGGGGCUUCGGCCCACGUUAACGUGCUUAGGAU
rnacentral:rRNA from 1 species